rnacentral:rRNA from 1 species
UGCAAGUCGAACGAAGUAGCAAUACUUAGUGGCAGACGGGUGAGUAACAUGUAGGUAUCUGCCCUUUGGCCUGGAAUAACACGAGGAAACUUGUGCUAAUACCGGAUAAGUCUUUACGGAGAAAGCUUUAUGCACCAUUGGAUGAGCCUGCACUUGAUUAGUUUGUUGGUGGGGUAAUGGCCUACCAAGACUGUGAUCAAUAGCUGAUUUGAGAGGAUGAUCAGCCACAUUGGGACUGAGACACGGCUCAAACUCCUACGGGAGGCAGCAGUGGGGAAUCUUGCACAAUGGAGGAAACUCUGAUGCAGCGAUGCCGCGUGAGUGAAGAAGGCCCUUGGGUUGUAAAGCUCUUUCGUCGGGGAAGAAAAUGACUGUACCCGAAUAAGAAGGUCCGGCUAACUUCGUGCCAGCAGCCGCGGUAAUACGAAGGGACCUAGCGUAGUUCGGAAUUACUGGGCUUAAAGAGUUCGUAGGUGGUUGAAAAAGUUAGUGGUGAAAUCCCAGAGCUUAACUCUGGAACUGCCAUUAAAACUUUUCAGCUAGAGUAUGAUAGAGGAAAGCAGAAUUUCUAGUGUAGAGGUGAAAUUCGUAGAUAUUAGAAAGAAUACCAAUUGCGAAGGCAGCUUUCUGGAUCAUUACUGACACUGAGGAACGAAAGCAUGGGUAGCGAAGAGGAUUAGAUACCCUCGUAGUCCAUGCCGUAAACGAUGUGUGUUAGACGUUGGAAAUUUAUUUUCAGUGUCGCAGGAAAACCGAUAAACACACCGCCUGGGGAGUACGACCGCAAGGUUAAAACUCAAAUGAAUUGACGGGGACCCGCACAAGUAGUGAGCAUGUGGUUUAAUUCGAAGAUACGCGCAGAACCUUACCAACACUUGACAUGUUCGUCGCGACUC